rnacentral:rRNA from 1 species
GACGAACGCUGGCGGCGUGCUUAACACAUGCAAGUCGAACGGAAAGGCCCUGCUUUUGUGGGGUGCUCGAGUGGCGAACGGGUGAGUAACACGUGAGUAACCUGCCCUUUACUUUGGGAUAACUUCAGGAAACUGGGGCUAAUACCGGAUAGGAGCUCCUGCUGCAUGGUGGGGGUUGGAAAGUUUCGGCGGUUGGGGAUGGACUCGCGGCUUAUCAGCUUGUUGGUGGGGUAGUGGCUUACCAAGGCUUUGACGGGUAGCCGGCCUGAGAGGGUGACCGGGCACAUUGGGACUGAGAUACGGCCCAGACUCCUACGGGAGGCAGCAGUGGGGAAUAUUGCAAAAUGGGCGGAAGCCUGAUGCAGCAACGCCGCGUGCGGGAUGACGGCCUUCGGGUUGUAAACCGCUUUCGCCUGUGACGAAGCGUGAGUGACGGUAAUGGGUAAAGAAGCACCGGCUAACUACGUG